rnacentral:rRNA from 1 species
GAUUAACGCUGGCGGCAUGCCUAAUACAUGCAAGUCGAACGAGGGUAGCAAUACCCUAGUGGCGAACGGGUGAGUAACACGUAGGAAACCUGCCUCAAAGUCGAGGAUAACUACUGGAAACGGUAGCUAAAACUGGAUAGGAUACGAGAAGGCAUCUUUUUGUAUUUAAAAGUCCUUCUGGGAAUGCUUUGAGAUGGUCCUGCGGCGCAUUAGCUAGUUGGUGAGGUAGAGGCUCACCAAGGCGACGAUGCGUAGCUGUGCUGAGAGGCAAAACAGCCACACUGGGACUGAGACACGGCCCAG